AACGAUUGAAGCCAGUCGUACCUGCGGGUAAUCAGCCUCUUGGGUGUGAUUAUGUGGAGCGUGAGGAGCUAAUCACCUUCAUGCCUGCAUAUUCGUGCACUUUGGGUGUACUUGCUCGUGUGGUAGGUUAACAUCAAUUUUGAUCGUCAUAAAAUGGUUGGAGGAAUGUAGCCUCGAUCUCGUAUUGAAGUGUUAUAGCCUUUGGUAGAUGUGACGAUUGGGAUCGAGGAUUGCAACGAAUACCCUUUGGGCUAUCCGUCUGACCUCUGAAAGUCGCUUGGGUGUUGAAAGCGUGCCUAUAACAUUCAAGUUGGCGGUCAAAAGGUUAGAACGCGAUUACAUUCGUU
rnacentral:rRNA from 1 species